AUACUUACCUGGCAGGGGAGAUAGCACAACCAUGAAGGUGGUUUUCCCAGGGCGAGGGUUAUCCAUUGCACUCCGGAUGUGCUCACCCCUGCGAUUUCCCCAAAUGUGGGGAACUCGACUGCAUAAUGUGUGGUAGUGGGGGACUGUUCAGGGCUCCCUG
ensembl:snRNA U1 U1 spliceosomal RNA